rnacentral:tRNA from 1 species
UUGAUCGUCAUGCGGCACGAUUCCGCCCUCUCACGGCGGUAACAGGGGUUCGAAUCCCCUAGGGGACGCCA